AAUGUCUCAGACUAGCCAUGCACGUCUAAGUACAAACUAAAUGAUGGUGAAACUGCAAAUGGCUCAUUACAACGGUUAUGAUGUACCCGGGAGUUCCGAUGGAUAUUUCCAGUAACACUAGAACUAAUACAUGUCCCUGCGUUUAUUAGUUUCGCACAGUCCGUCGCUGAGUCAUGGUAAACAGUUGAUCGACUCGACGUCCCGGAACAGUUUCCGCCCCAUCAGCUUCGAUGGUUGGGUAUUGGCCUACCAUUGCAACAACGGGUAACGAGGAAUUAGGGUUUGAUUUCGGAGAGGGAGCCUGAGAAACGGCUACCACAUCUACGGAUGGCAGCAGGCGCGCAAAUUACCCAAUGCAGACACUGUGAGGUAGUGACGAGAAAUAAUAAAGCGGGACUUCUGUUUCGCUAUUAUAAUGAGGAAUAACCAAAGGUCAUUCCGAUUAGCAACUGAUGGGAAAGUCUGGUGCCAGCAGCCGCGGUAAUACCAGCGUCAGUAGC
rnacentral:rRNA from 1 species